GCCCGCUUGGCACAGUGGUAAUGCGUCUCACUCGUACUGCGCACGUGUGAAAUGAGAAGAUCACUGGUUCGAUUCCAGUAGUGGGCA